GAUGAACGCUAGCUACAGGCUUAACACAUGCAAGUCGAGGGGCAGAACAAGGCAGCAAUGCUGAGGUGGCGACCGGCGCACGGGUGCGUAACGCGUAUCCAACCUUCCCGUUACUCUUGGAUAGCCUUCCGAAAGGGAGAUUAAUACAAGAUGGUGUUGAAAUUCCGCAUGUUAUUUCAACUAAAGAUUUAUCGGUAACGGAUGGGGAUGCGUGACAUUAGAUAGAUGGCGGGGUAACGGCCCACCAUGUCCACGAUGUCUAGGGGUUCUGAGAGGAAGGUCCCCCACACUGGAACUGAGACACGGUCCAGACUCCUACGGGAGGCAGCAGUGAGGAAUAUUGGUCAAUGGCCGGAAGGCUGAACCAGCCAAGUAGCGUGAAGGAUGAAGGUUCUAUGGAUUGUAAACUUCUUUUAUGAGGGAAUAUAACCUCCCACGUGUGGGAGCUUGUAUGUACCUUAUGAAUAAGCAUCGGCUAACUCCGUGCCAGCAGCCGCAGUAACAC
rnacentral:rRNA from 1 species